rnacentral:rRNA from 1 species
UAACGCGUGAGGAACCUGCCUUUCANAGGGGGACAACAGUUGGAAACGACUGCUAAUACCGCAUAAUAUAUGUUUGUCGCAUGGCAGAUAUAUCAAAGAGUUUAUCGCUGAGAGAUGGCCUCGCGUCUGAUUAGCUAGUUGGUAGGGUAACGGCCUACCAAGGCGACGAUCNGUAGCCGGACUGAGAGGUUGGCCGGCCACAUUGGGACUGAGAUACGGCCCAGACUCCUACGGGAGGCAGCAG